UGGGGAAUUUUGGACAAUGGGGGCAACCCUGAUCCAGCCAUCCCGCGUGUGCGAUGAAGGCCUUCGGGUUGUAAAGCACUUUUGGCAGGGAAGAAACAGCCUGGGCUAAUAUCCCGGGCGACUGACGGUACCUGCAGAAUAAGCACCGGCUAACUACGUGCCAGCAGCCGCGGUAAUACGUAGGGUGCAAGCGUUAAUCGGAAUUACUGGGCGUAAAGCGUGCGCAGGCGGUUCGGAAAGAAAGGUGUGAAAUCCCAGGGCUUAACCUUGGAACUGCACUUUGAACUACCGGGCUAGAGUACGUCAGAGGGGGGUAGAAUUCCUCGUGUAGCAGUGAAAUGCGUAGAGGUGUGGAGGAAUACCGAUGGCGAAGGCAGCCCCCUGGGAUGAUACUGACGCUCAUGCACGAAAGCGUGGGGAGCAAACA
rnacentral:rRNA from 1 species